rnacentral:rRNA from 1 species
GGGCUGCCUGGAUGGGUCACACACAGGAACUUCUGCUAAUCCCGGAUGAGCCGCAAGGUCAAAGAUUUAUCGCCUAGAGAUGAGCUCGCGUCUGAUUAGCUAGUUGGUAAGGUAAAAGCUUACCAAGGCAACGAUCAGUAGCUGGUCUGAGAGGAUGAUCAGCCACACUGGGACUGAGACACGGCCCAGACUCCUACGGGAGGCAGCAGUGGGGAAUUUUCCGCAAUGGGCGCAAGCCUGACGGAGCAAGACCGCGUGGGGGAGGAAGGCUCUUGGGUUGUAAACCCCUUUUCUCAGGGAAGAACCAAAUGACGGUACCUGAGGAAUCAGCCUCGGCUAACUCCGUGCCAGCAGCCGCGGUAAUACGGAGGAGGCAAGCGUUAUCCGGAAUGAUUGGGCGUAAAGCGUUCGUAGGUGGCUAUUCAAGUCUGCUGUCAAAGACAGAAGCUCAACUUCUGAAAGGCAGUGGAAACUGAGUAGCUGGAGUGCGGUAGGGGCAGAGGGAAUUCCCGGUGUAGCGGUGAAAUGCGUAGAGAUCGGGAAGAACACCGGUGGCGAAAGCGCUCUGCUGGGCCGCAACUGACACUGAGGGACGAAAGCUAGGGGAGCGAAUGGGAUUAGAUACC